UGGAAAGGGAGCAAGUUUGGGAGGCGCGCGGGACAGUUGUUGUGAGGGGUGGGGGGAAGGGCGGGGCCGGCGCCUGAGGCGGAGAAGAAAUUUGUGUUUUUUAAAAAAAUUCUCGCAUGUACGUGUAUUUCUUUUUUUUUCUUUUUUUCUCAAAAUUUUUUUAUUGGUUUUCACAACAUUAUAAACAGACAAACAAACAUAAAUCAUAGCCUUAUUGACAAUUACACUUAUUAACCAUGUUAAGUGACUUCCUCGCUUCCCCUUGCUUGAAUUUCAUUGCUUAACGGUUUUCCAAAUCACAGUUCUUAUAAAACUUAACUUAAACAUUAACAUCCUUACAUCUUCGCAUUAUGAAAAUAAACGUAUUAAUUCAUCACUUAACAUAAAUAAAAUCCUAAGGCAAUUAAGUAGCUGCAAGCUGUUUUCAGUUAAUUUAACUUAACAUAGGUUAAGUUAAGAAAUUCGUGUGUUUUAAAAAUAAUUUCUCUCAUGUCUUUCUUUACUCCAAGGAGCUCAAGGUGGCACGUGUUGCAUCUCAACAACAACAACCACCUUGUGAGGUAGGCCAGCCUGAGGAGCAGAGUUGAGAUUCAAGCCACGUCUACUUUGGAGCAAGGCGCCGACUCCUUCAGGUAAUGGUGUAAAGCAGGAAUCAGGAGUUUAAAGUGGGAGAAGGGCAAAAGAGUUUGACCUUGCAAAUAUCCUUUGGGAAACAUCUCAGUGCCUAGAGUGUGAGGCUCUUUCAAUCUCUUUUUUUCCCAAAUACUUUUUAUUGCUUUUUUGUAACAACGACAAAUACUCUUACAUUCAAAAAUUUGUAUGUCUUCUUAUUUACCCUGCGCCUUAUUGCACCCGGACUUCCUUCCAUCCCUUCAACGGUUUUCAUAUCUCAAAUCUUUUCUUACAGUUUCUUAUUUACACUCUAUCCACAUCACAAGAUUUACAUUAAUCCUGCUGCAGUUUUUAAAUUCUUACAAUUACUCCGUAUAUAUUCAACAAAUUUACCCCAAUCCUUUUCAAACUUUGCUUCUUUUUGGUUCCGAAUCUUAUAGGUCAAUUUUGCCAAUUCUAUGUAUUCAAACAUUUUUGUCUGCCACUCCAUUGAAGUUGGGAUUUCUUGGGAUUUCCUCUUUCAAUCUCAAGGUCGUGGGUUCGAGCCGGGCAAAAAGAUUCUGGGGUUGGACUAGAUGAUCCUCAGGGUCCCUUCCAACUGUACAACCCAGGCUUCUCCCAUGUCUACGGCCACCUGCGAGUCAUGUGAUGUCACAGUUACAUCACGUGACUUGCAGGUGGGCAAGUCAUUCCU